rnacentral:tRNA from 1 species
GCCUAGUUAGUUUGGUGGGUAGAGCGCUGCCUGUUAAGCGCUAGGUCGCGGGUUCGAUUCCCGCCCGGGGCG